rnacentral:lncRNA from 1 species
AUGUUCUAUUAGUGAGUAUAACGAGUGUUAAAAGAUUUCUCCUGUGAUUUUGAAUUUUCUGUUUUGAUCUAAACCUCGUUAUGAUCUUUGACCUUGACAUCUACCUAUAAUUAUACAUUUGUAGUACGAACAAGGUUGCAUCAAAUUAACAAUAAUAAAACAUCGACCAACCUUCGCGACUUCAUAAAUAAACCAGUGAUCAUUUCGUCUCAUUGAUAAAUAUGUAUUAUUGUGUUCAUAAAUGAGGGUGUGGAUGGGGAUUUACAUAAUAUAGAAUAAUGGCAAAAGAAUAUAAAGAGAAAAAUUAACCGAAAUAAAAGGAUAAAAACAGAAUAUUGAGGUGCUAAAAUAUAAAAAAAAUAAGAAUUAUGACCAAAAGGUAAAGAAAACAGAGAAAAUGGCAAAAUAAAAAAAUAAUAAAAAAAAUUCUGAAUUUAGAAAAUAUAGACCCUACCCCUUCAAACCCCCAAUAAAUACUUUUAGAAGUGACACUUAUCUGUGGUAUAACAAGCGAGUCAAAAACAGACAACUAAUUUCUUCUUUGGUGGAAGACACGAUACUCACGAGUCAAUAAUCUGACUGUAUAAUUCCCAUAUCAUUCUUAUUAAACUGAAUUUUAU